rnacentral:lncRNA from 1 species
CCCUAGAACUUAAAGUAUAAUAAAUAUAUAUAUAUUAAAAAAAAAAAAAAAAAGAAAGCUCCAGCAGCAACAAGGUGCAGACACUGGACGAGAAACAGGAGUGAGAAACAAUGAUGGAGAAACAGAGGGAAGAAGAGACUUGGAAUCACUCUGUCCUGGCUGUGGGUCUAUGAAAAAGAAUGUGGCCUACUGCUAAAUACAUUGAUUUUGAAGCUAGAUAGCUCUGGUUUUGGGGAGCAAGUGAUUUGAUCUCUCAGAGACUCAGCUACUUCAUCAGUAAACAGAGAUUACCAUAUCCACCAGUAAUGGCUAUAGGAGCAGUAAUAGGGAUGAUAUAGGUGAAAGCACUGAUCACUGAAUGAUUCCAAAGACAGGUGCAGAGAGGUUCAGGCAUCAGACAGGCUACCUGGAUCCAAAUCCCAGCUCCAUCAUUUACUACUUUCAUGGCCUUUACAAACCACUAAACUUCUCUCUGAGCUUCAAUUUUCCCAUCUGUAACAUGGGAACUAAUAAAAUGAAACCUUCCUAAUAAAGUUGCCAGGAAGAUUCAUUGAGACAUUGAAUGUAAAGUAUUUAACUCAAUAUAGAGCACAGGGGAGCACCAAAUAAAAUUCAGGUGUUACAUUUUUAAGCACGUGUUCACCAAGGCUCCCAAUUCAGGUGGUGAGGAUUCUAUGAUGAUCAAUUCCUCCUAAGGUAUUUGUAAAAUGACCCACCAGAUUACCAACCAUUCCUGUAUUUCCAGAACCCUUUGGAGUCCUUUAUGUAACCUGGGAGAGCUGUUAUUCUUUUUUCUUUUUGGUAGAAGUGAAAUCCUGCAGGAAAACUUGCUCCAUUUUGGUUAUUUCUGUUAUAUCACAAGGUGGGCUGGAUAGCAAGUUUUGGAAGCACUGAACACCCACACGGAGCUGGCUCCUCUCAGGCGGGGAGGCAUCUUCACUAAGGAGAGGUGCAGUCUGUGUCCCCGUCCUUGACUCUGAGAAUCCCUGUGAUCAACAGAAUGCAGAAAAGUGACACUGCAUGGCUUCUGAGGCUAGGUCCAGAAAAGGUGAUGCAGCUUCCCCCUUUGCGCUGAAAUGCAGUGCUUGGACCUCAGAGCUAUUGACUAAGAAGUCCAUGCACCCUGAGCUUCUCAUGCUGGGGAAGCCACGUGUAGGCAUUCAGUUCCCAGCCCAGCUGAGCUCCAUCCUGGCUGCAACAAUUGUUCUCAUGAGGAAGCCAUCUUGGACACUCAGCUCCAUGGAGCCUCCACGAGUCGCCAGCCCCAACUGACAUCUGUCUCACUGCAACCACAGAAGAGCCUCCAACCAAGAACUGCACAGCUGAACCCUUUCUAAAUUCUUGAUCUCCAAAAAGCCAUGCACAAAAUAAAAUGGUUGUUUUGAGCCACUAAACUCUGGAACCUCGAGUAGGGGAGAAGUUCCUUUGGGUAGGUGUCAUUUUCCUAGGCUACCAUUCAUUUUCUCUUAUUUUGGUGAUAGCAGUCUGAUUUAUGUGUGUGGGUGGGUCGGGGGUAACCCUGAUCUUAAGUCAUGUAGUUCAGGUGCCUCCUGGAUGUGCCUGCCUAACCAUCAUAUCCCCACUACGGUACGGUGUUUGUAAAGAGUUGAGCAAAUAAUCCAGGACAGACCACUGAGAUUCUGCCUUGUGACUUUUGUUAAAAUUAGUGAGAAAAAGUCACUCUCGGGGCAGGCUGGAGUAAAGAGGGAUUGCUAAAUAGAUGCUAGGUAGGCCUGAAACUGCUGGGGGCCAAUUUAUUAUGAAGCAGGAAGAACCUAAUAAGGAAUAAAGUUACUCUGGAGGAAAGCCAAGCAAAGGAGGGUGAGAGACAGCUUCCUGAUGAGACUAAGCUUUGGACCCAGUUUUGCCUGGAACUUCGGCAGGCUGUUUUAGUUUCGUAAGUUAAUACGUACUCCUUUUUGAUUAAGCUAUUUCAGAGGUGUCACUUGCAUCUGAAAGAUUCCUAAUACAGACAGGUAAGAUCAGGUCAUGGAGGGCUUUGUGCCCUGUGAUGGUAAAGUUUUACUUUAUUCUGUAAAGAAUGAGAACUAUAUUUUAAUCAGGAGCAGGAUGAUGAGAUGUACACUUUAGCAAGACACCUGAAUGCACUGAGAAGGGAUAUUUUGGUGUUAGGAACAGGGAAAUGGACUAGGAGUAUAUAGUGUUAGUUUAGGACAUUAUGAUGCCAACUAAUAUAGCUGGUGGGAUUGGAUAUGCAAUUUGAGAAAUAUUUAAAUCAUGGAAUCAACACAAUUCAGACAGGUUGGGUGGUGUUGGGAUAAGGAAGAGAGAAGAAGCAAGGAUGACUUUUAGAUGGAUGGCUUAUAUACAAGCUGGACUAUGUAUCACUAAAGAGAAUAUUAGCUCCAGUUUAUGUCUGAUGACUCAGAAGUUAAACAACCUGCCCAAGGUUGUGUACCUAGUAAGAGCAGAACCAAUCAGGUCUUUAGGCUCCAAGACUUUCAUUCUUUGAAUUGUAUCAGGCCACUCACUGUGUUGAGGCCGCCAUGUGCACUGCAUUCCCAAGAAAUCAUAGCACAUGGGGCUGCUUGUUGUUCAGCACAUCAGGAGGAAGGCAAAAUUAUUAAUGCUUUCUUUUGGUCUCCUUGCUGUGUCUGACUUGCUACCAAACAAAACCUCUGCAGCAGGGCAUUUGUACUAUUCAGGUUUUCUUGGCUGACUUAUCAGCAUUUGUGAAAAGUACAGACGAUUUUGUUCCAGCCUUUCUGCAUUCUGACUUCAGAAGCUGAUUACAGAUGCAGAAACAUGAAGGGAGGUGAAAUCUAUUUCCCAAGAUGGACUAUGGAUUGGUUCUAAAGAUCAAAAGGGUGUGGCUUUUCAAUACAAACAACAAAGUCUGGGAGUUUUUGCACAGUGGAAGAGAAAGGCAAGUAGUAAGGGUGGCAAAGUGCUCAUUAGGAAGAAAAGUUAACAGGAAAACUUGGUUUAAAUCAAGGCAAGUAUGAAGAGAAGGUUAUCAACUUUAUGAAAAAGAGGACCAGAGAAGGCGAAGUGGCAAGCUGAGUGGCGAAUGCUGCUUAUCAUAUAUCCAGUUAAAAUUUCUUGGUCUCAUUCUUCACCAUUGUUAAAAUACUUUAACAUAUUUUAUAUACACUUAAAUAUCUGCUCCUUUCUAGUAAUAUAUUUUAUGUCUUUUACCAUCUUUGAGCCACAAUGAUCUCAACUGUGAAAUGGGAGCAGUAACAAAUUGCACCAUAAGAUUGUUGUGUUAAAUAAUGGCAUGAAUGUGCUUAGCCUGUUGCUUGUCACAUGGAAUCUGCACAGUUAAUGCUCAUAGCCUGUAACUCUUCCCAUCCUCUUCAGCAAGCUUUUAUUUAAUGACGCAGUUACGAAUGAGAAACUCCUGCAAGAAUGAUCAGUGUGCAUUGGAUAGAUGUUAAUUAGGUAGGACAGCCAGCAUUAUGUUCAUUUGAAGGGGAAAAAAACUGAGGUUUUCAGAGGUUAAGUAGCUUGCUGCAAAGUGCUUAGCUAUCAACAAAUAGGAGGUGGUUUUCUCCAGAGGGCCCCAGGUGAGAUGCACAGGUGUUACCCAGUGCAGACUUUUGGUCACCUUCACUUAACAUGGUGAUUGUUAUCAGAUGAGAAAGAAGACACCCUGGAAUUGAGAAAGUGCCAUACAAGAUGAGGCCAUUGCAAAGAGGAAAAAAGAGGCCCUGUGUGAGGCUAGGAAGACAGCACAACAAUGAGCCCAUGGCUUGCCAGGAAAGGAUCAGAAAUGGGAGGAGUGUUGUAGGCUAGUGGGACAUUCUCAAGCUUCAGAUCAGGUGAUUCUGUGCCCAAAUUAUCACUCCUCCAUGUAUUAUCUGUGUGACUUUGAACAAGGUUGUGUAACCUUUCUAAGCCUGUUUCUUCUUUUUUUUUGAUUUUUUUUUUUUGAGAUGAAGUCUCACUCUGUUGCCCAGGCUAGAGUGCAAUGGUGCGUAAUCUCGGCUCACUGCAACCUCUGCCUCCCAGGUUCAAGCAAUUCUCCUGCCUCAGCCUCCCUAGUAGCUGGGAUUACAGGCGAGCACCACCAUGCUCGACUAACUUUUGUAUUUUUAGUAGAGAUGGGUUUCACCAUGUUGGCCAGGGUGGUCUGGAACUCCUGACCUUGUGAUCCACCCGCCUCAACCUCCCAAAUUGCUGGGAUGGAUUACAGGCAUGAGUGGCCGUACCCAGCCUUGUUUCUUCAGUUCUAAAAUGGAUAUAAUAAUGUCUUAUUUAAUUAUCACUGUUAGUAUACAUUGACAUGUCUUGUAAAGUACCCAUCCAGUCCAAUUCCUUAGGAAAUGCUUAAUAAGUAAUAAUAAUUAUGAGCCUAAUUAUUGUUUUUAUUUUGGAGCAAGCCUUAGCUGAACAUUUUCCCUGUGGAAAAAGAUUGUUUGAAUGGGCAUUAACCAAUCUGGAGGGAUUUAUAACAUUUCAAAAAGACUGUUAUAAAACUAGGGAUAGUUUGCCAGAACUGAAAAUCAAUGCAUUUAAUGUUCAGCUGUUUUGAAUGAGGAGGUAGUGCAGGUAACAGACUCUUGGCAGCCCAUCCCCAUUCCUGUUUCAGUCCUGAACCCAGGCAUGGGCUUAAUGUGAGAGAUAGAAAUAGGGCAAUCGAUGACUGAGAUUCAGAAAUGGGGCAGAGCCGGAAAUGUCUGUUGUAAAUUAAUUAAUUUUAAAAAGUCAAUUAGUGAAGAUGUGUUUUUACAUUUUGAAGCCACUACUUCCCGACUUGUCUGGAAAGCCUGAGAUUAAGAAUCACACUUUGGAGGUAAGGGAAUACACUAGUCUGUUCUUGCCCUGCUAUAAAGAACUACCUGAGACUGGGUGAUUUAUAAAGAACAGAGGUUUAAUUGGCUCCUGGUUCCACAGGCUCUCUAGGAAGCGUGGUUGAGGAGGCUUCAGGAAACUUGCAAUCAUGCAGGCACACAUUGCAUGGCUAGAACAGGAGGAAGAGAGUGAAGGGGGAGGUGCUAUACACUUUCAAACAACCAGACCUCGUGAGAACUCACUAUUAUGAUAACAGCAAGGGAGGAAUUCACCCCCAAGAUCCAAUCACCUCCCACCAGGCCCCUCUUCCAACUUUGGGGAUUACAAUUUGACAUGAGACUUGAGUAGGGUCACAAAUCCAAACCAUAUCAUGGGACAAGUGAUUGAAGACUCAUCAUUCUGUUCUGAAUGAAUUUUAUGACCAACUUGCUGUGUAGAGGGAGACAUUUGCCAAAUUUCAUUCAUAAUGGGUUCUGCAUACAGAACAGCUCGGAUUCCAGUUAGCCAUUAUUAUUGUAUGAACUUGCAUGAGUCACUUAAAUAAUUUGUGACCCAAUGUACUCAUCUGUAAAAUGGAGAUGCUAAUGGUAACUUGUUUGUAGCCUUUUGUGAUGAUUAAAUAAGAUUACUUUGUAAA